rnacentral:rRNA from 1 species
UGGUGGAGUGAUUUGUCUGGUUAAUUCCGUUAACGAACGAGACCUCAGCCUGCUAAUUAGUUGGACCAAUGUUUCAUUGGGCUCGACUUCUUAGAGGGACUAUCGGUUUUCAACCGAGGGAAGUAUGAGGCAAUAACA